UCACCCCUCAAGCCCGGCUUGCUGUUGGUGCCGGCGUGGCUUUCGGCCUCGUCCCGCCCAAAGAUAAUGACGGCGUCUGUGAGGACCCCUGUACACUGAGCUCUCGGGCACGUACACGGUUGGGAGUCCAGGCGCCGGUCGACGUCCGCAAGGACACUUUUUCUAA
rnacentral:misc_RNA from 1 species